rnacentral:rRNA from 1 species
UACGAGGGGAGCAAGCGUUGUUCGGAUUCAUUGGGCGUAAAGGGUGCGUAGGCGGCGGGGCAAGUCGGAUGUGAAAUCUCAGGGCUCAACCCUGAAACUGCAUUCGAUACUGCCUUGCUCGAGGACUGGAGAGGAGAUUGGAAUUCACGGUGUAGCAGUGAAAUGCGUAGAUAUCGUGAGGAAGACCAGUGGCGAAGGCGGAUCUCUGGACAGUUCCUGACGCUGAGGCACGAAGGCCAGGGGAGCAAACGGG